AAUUGGCUAGAUUUUUUAUUUUGCAUAUGAAAUUUUGUUAUUUAGCUUUGUUGGAUCAUAAAAGGUGUUCCCUGGGUUUAUAUAUACAGUUCCAGGAAAAUAGGAGUGAAAGAGUCCAAAUUCUGAGUCCCUAACAGAAGCCAUAGUUUUUUUUUUGUUGUUUUUUUUUUUGUUUUUUUGCUCCUUGUUCAGGUCCUCAUGGACCUUUAAUAGGCAGCCAGCUACGCCAGCAGCUCCAAUCUCUUAAGAUCACGUUCCAGCUUUAGGACUUCUGCCUGGGCUCCUUUGUGAAGGCACUUAAUGCCCAAAUCUUUACAGGCAUCUGCACAGCUUGCCCUCUUCUCAAAGUCCUACAGUCUCCAGGGUGCUUCAUACCAGGUGGGCACAGAUAUUGGUGGCUCUGGAACAGUUCUUGGGAAUCCAAGAUUUCCCUACUUAGCUAAUGUGCUUUUUUUAUCCAAAGCAAUCGGCACUCCCCAUGAUCAGAUUCCAGUACACUCUUUGAAGUGUCA
rnacentral:lncRNA from 1 species